rnacentral:rRNA from 1 species
GAACGGGUGAGUAACACGUGGGCAAUCUGCCCUUCACUCUGGGACAAGCCCUGGAAACGGGGUCUAAUACCGGAUAUCACUUUCGCAGGCAUCUGUGAGAGUUGAAAGCUCCGGCGGUGAAGGAUGAGCCCGCGGCCUAUCAGCUUGUUGGUGAGGUAAUGGCUCACCAAGGCGACGACGGGUAGCCGGCCUGAGAGGGCGACCGGCCACACUGGGACUGAGACACGGCCCAGACUCCUACGGGAGGCAGCAGUGGGGAAUAUUGCACAAUGGGCGAAAGCCUGAUGCAGCGACGCCGCGUGAGGGAUGACGGCCUUCGGGUUGUAAACCUCUUUCAGCAGGGAAGAAGCGAAAGUGACGGUACCUGCAGAAGAAGCGCCGGCUAACUACGUGCCAGCAGCCGCGGUAAUACGUAGGGCGCAAGCGUUGUCCGGAAUUAUUGGGCGUAAAGAGCUCGUAGGCGGCUUGUCACGUCGGGUGUGAAAGCCCGGGGCUUAACCCCGGGUCUGCAUUCGAUACGGGCUAGCUAGAGUGUGGUAGGGGAGAUCGGAAUUCCUGGUGUAGCGGUGAAAUGCGCAGAUAUCAGGAGGAACACCGGUGGCGAAGGCGGAUCUCUGGGCCAUUACUGACGCUGAGGAGCGAA